rnacentral:rRNA from 1 species
UACAGAGGGUGCAAGCGUUUGUUCGGAAUUAUUGGGCGUAAAGCGCGUGUAGGCGGCUUUGCAAGUCGGGUGUGAAAGCCCUCAGCUCAACUGAGGAAGUGCGCCCGAAACUGCAGAGCUUGAGUGCCGGAGAGGGUGGCGGAAUUCCCCAAGUAGAGGUGAAAUUCGUAGAUAUGGGGAGGAACACCGGUGGCGAAGGCGGCCACCUGGACGGGUAACUGACGCUGAGACGCGAAAGCGUGGGUAGCAAACAGG